rnacentral:rRNA from 1 species
AACGAACGCUGGCGGCAGGCCUAACACAUGCAAGUCGAGCGCCCCGCAAGGGGAGCGGCGGACGGGUGAGUAACGCGUGGGAACGUACCCUUUGCUACGGAAUAGCCUCGGGAAACUGGGAGUAAUACCGUAUGUGCCCUUCGGGGGAAAGAUUUAUCGGCAAAGGAUCGGCCCGCGUUGGAUUAGGUAGUUGGUGAGGUAAAGGCUCACCAAGGCGACGAUCCAUAGCUGGUCUGAGAGGAUGAUCAGCCACACUGGGACUGAGACACGGCCCAGACUCCUACGGGAGGCAGCAGUGGGGAAUAUUGGACAAUGGGCGAAAGCCUGAUCCAGCAAUGCCGCGUGAGUGAAGAAGGCCUUCGGGUUGUAAAGCUCUUUUACCCGGGAAGAUAAUGACUGUACCGGGAGAAUAAGCCCCGGCUAACUCCGUGCCAGCCGCCGCAGUAA